rnacentral:rRNA from 1 species
GACGAACGUUGGCGGCGUGCUUAAUACAUGCAAGUCAACUGAAGCAGUGGUAGCAAUAUCGCUGUGGAGGUGGCGCCCGGGUGAGUAACACGUAGGUAAUCUGCCUUCAGGUCUGGCAUAACUCCGGGAAACCGGGGCUAAUAGCAGCUGAUGCAGCGGCUCGCCAUAGAGACGGUUGUUAAAGCGAAGGCGCCUGAAUAUGAGCCGGCGGCGGAUUAGCUAGUUGGCGGGGUGACGGCCCAACAAGGCAACGAUCAGUCGCGGGUCUGAGAGGAGGAGCAGACACAGUGGAACUGAGACACGGUCCAGACUCCUGCGGGAGGGAGGAGUAAGGAAUAGUGCUAAAGGGGAGAAAUCGUGAAGGAGAAGCGCCGCGUGAGGGACGAAGGGCUUUGGCGUGUAAACCUCUGUAGUGAGAGAAAAAAAUCCCAAUGUGUGGGACAUGAUGGUAGCUGAAAAGUAAGCCCCGGCUAACUACGUG